GAGGACGGCCAGCCACACUGGGACUGAGACACGGCCCAGACUCCUACGGGAGGCAGCAGUGGGGAAUAUUGGACAAUGGGGGGAACCCUGACCCAGCAAUGCCGCGUGUGUGAAGAAGGCCUGAGGGUUGUAAAGCACUUUUAGUGGGGAGGAGGGUUGAUAGGUUAAGAGCUAAUUAACUGGACGUUACCCACAGAAACAGCACCGGCUAACUCCGUGCCAGCAGCCGCGGUAAUACGGAGGGUGCGAGCGUUAAUCGGAAUUACUGGGCGUAAAGGGUGCGUAGGUGGUUGUAUAAGUUAUCUGUGAAAUCCCCGGGCUCAACCUGGGCAGGUCAGAUAAGACUGUAUGACUGGAGUAUAGGAGAGGGUAGUGGAAUUUCCGGUGUAGCGGUGAAAUGCGUAGAGAUCGGAAGGAACACCAGUGGCGAAGGCGGCUACCUGGCCUAAUACUGACACUGAGGCACGAAAGCGUGGGGAGCAAACA
rnacentral:rRNA from 1 species